CGGGGUACACGAGCGGCGAACGGGUGAGUAACACGUGAGCAACCUGCCCCCGACUCCGGGAUAAGCGGUGGAAACGCCGUCUAAUACCGGAUACGACCGGCCACCUCAUGGUAGCCGGUGGAAAGUUUUUCGGUUGGGGAUGGGCUCGCGGCCUAUCAGCUUGUUGGUGGGGUAAAGGCCUACCAAGGCGAUUACGGGUAGCCGGCCUGAGAGGGCGACCGGCCACACUGGGACUGAGACACGGCCCAGACUCCUGCGGGAGGCAGCAGUGGGGAAUAUUGCGCAAUGGGCGAAAGCCUGACGCAGCGACGCCGCGUGGGGGAUGACGGCCUUCGGGUUGUAAACCUCUUUUACCACCAACGCAGGCUCCCAGUUCUCUGGGGGUUGACGGUAGGUGGGGAAUAAGGACCGGCUAACUACGUGCCAGCAGCCGCGGUAAUACGUAGGGUCCGAGCGUUGUCCGGAAUUAUUGGGCGUAAAGAGCUCGUAGGCGGCGUGUCGCGUCUGCUGUGAAAGACCGGGGCUUAACUCCGGUUCUGCAGUGGAUACGGGCAUGCUAGAGGUAGGUAGGGGAGACUGGAAUUCCUGGUGUAGCGGUGAAAUGCGCAGAUAUCAGGAGGAACACCGGUGGCGAAGGCGGGUCUCUGGGCCUUACCUGACGCUGAGGAGCGAAAGCAUGGGGAGCGAACAGGAUUAGAUACCCUGGUAGUCCAUGCCGUAAACGUUGGGCGCUAGGUGUGGGGACUUUCCACGGUUUCCGCGCCGUAGCUAACGCAUUAAGCGCCCCGCCUGGGGAGUACGGCCGCAAGGCUAAAACUCAA
rnacentral:rRNA from 1 species